AGUAAGAUCAGCUAAAUUAAGCUUUUGGGCCCAUACCCCAAAAAUGUAGGUUAAAAUCCUUCUCUUACUA
rnacentral:tRNA from 1 species